rnacentral:rRNA from 1 species
GAUCAUGGCUCAGGAUAAACGCUGGCGGCGUGCUUAACACAUGCAAGUCGAACGAAGUUUUUCUUUCGGGAGGAACUUAGUGGCGGACGGGUGAGUAACGCGUGGGUAACCUGCCCUGUACAGGGGGACAACAGCUGGAAACGGCUGCUAAUACCGCAUAAGCCCUUAGCACUGCAUGGUGCAUAUGGAAAAGGAGCAAUCCGGUACAGGAUGGACCCGCGUCUGAUUAGCCAGUUGGCAGGGUAACCGG